CCUACGGGUGGCAGCAGUGGGGAAUAUUUCACAAUGGGGGAAACCCUGAUGCAGCGACGCCGCGUGAGUGAAGAAGUAAUUCGUUAUGUAAACCUCUAUCAGCAGGGAAGAAAAUGACGGUACCUGGAGAAAAAGCAUCGGCUAACUCCGUGCCAGCAGCCGCGGUAAUACGGAGGAUGCGAGCGUUAUCCGGAUUUAUUGGGUUUAAAGGGUGCGCAGGCGGCAUGUCAAGUCAGCGGUAAAAUGUCGGGGCUAAACCCCGGCCGGCCGUUGAAACUGGCAUGCUCGAGUGGGCGAGAAGUAAGCGGAAUUCGUGGUGUAGCGGUGAAAUGCGUAGAUAUCAGGAGGAACCCCGAUGGCGAAGGCAGAAUACCGGCUCCACACUGACGCUGAGGCACGAAAGCGUGGGUAGCAAACAGGAUUAGAUACCCCAGUAGUC
rnacentral:rRNA from 1 species